UACGCAGGGGGCAAGCGUUGUCCGGAAUUAUUGGGCGUAAAGCGCGCGCAGGCGGUCUCUUAAGUCUGAUGUGAAAGCCCACGGCUCAACCGUGGAGGGUCAUUGGAAACUGGGGGACUUGAGUGCAGGAGAGGAAAGUGGAAUUCCACGUGUAGCGGUGAAAUGCGUAGAGAUGUGGAGGAACACCAGUGGCGAAGGCGACUUUCUGGCCUGUAACUGACGCUGAGGCGCGAAAGCGUGGGUAGCGAGCAGG
rnacentral:misc_RNA from 1 species